AUACGGAGGGUGCAAGCGUUAUUCGGAAUCACUGGGCGUAAAGGACGCGGAGGCGGGUUGGCAGGUCAGAUGUGAAAUCCUACAGCUUAACUGUAGAACUGCAUUUGAAACUGCUAACCUAGAGUAUGGGAGGGGGAGAUGGAAUUAGUGGUGUAGGGGUAAAAUCCGUAGAUAUCACUAGGAAUACCGAAAGCGAAGGCGAUCUCCUGGAACAUAACUGACGCUAAGGCGUGAAAGCGUGGGGAGCAAACAGGAUUAGAAACCCUAGUAGUCC
rnacentral:rRNA from 1 species